rnacentral:rRNA from 1 species
AGCGAACGCUGGCGGCAGGCCUAACACAUGCAAGUCGAGCGCCCAGCAAUGGGAGCGGCAGACGGGAUAGUAACACGUGGGAACGUACCUUUCAGUUCGGAACAACCCAGGGAAACUUGGGCUAAUACCGAAUACGUCCGUAAGGAGAAAGAUUUAUCGCUGAAAGAUCGGCCCGCGUCUGAUUAGCUAGUUGGUGAGGUAAUGGCUCACCAAGGCGACGAUCAGUAGCUGGUCNGAGAGGAUGAUCAGCAUCACUGGGACUGAGACACGGCCCAGACUCCUACGGGAGGCAGCAGUGGGGAAUAUUGGACAAUGGGCGCAAGCCUGAUCCAGCCAUGCCGCGUGGAUGAUGAAGGCCUUAGGGUUGUAAAGUCCUUUCGGC